GACGAACGCUGGCGGCGUGCUUAACACAUGCAAGUCGAACGGAAAGGCCCUGCUUUUGUGGGGUGCUCGAGUGGCGAAGGGGUGAGUAACACGUGUGUAACACGCCCUUGUCUUUGGGAUAACUUCAGGAAAAUGGGGCUAAUACCGGAUAGGAGCUCUUGCUGCAUGGUGGGGGUUGGUAAGUUUCGGCGGUUGGGGAUGGUUUCGCGGCAUAUCUGCUUGUUGGGGGGGUAGGGGCUUUCCAAGGUUUUGACGGAUAGCCGGCCUGGGAGGGUGACCGGCCACAUUGGGACUGCGGUAGGCACCAGACUCCUACGGGAGGCAGCGGUGGGGAAUCUUGCACAAUGGGCGGAAGCCUGAUGCGGCAACGCCGCGUGCGGAAUGACGGCCUUCGGGUUGUAAACCGCUUUGGCCUGUAACGAAGCGUUAGUGACGGUAAUGGGUAAAGAAGCACCGGCUAACUACGUG
rnacentral:rRNA from 1 species